GUUGCAGCUUGUACGCUGAAGCUUAUUACAGGAGAUAGCAAAAGCACGCUAUUGUGAAUUAACGCCAUCGGUAUGAAGGUUGUCGCAUUCCUCGCCAUUGUCUUGAUGUUUUCAUUGGUGGUCGACCAAGCAAACGCUGGGUUUGGCUGUCCAUUUGAUCAGAAUCGAUGUCAUAACCACUGCAGGUAUAACACUAAACCUGACAACUGCGGAGGCUACUGCAACAGGUUCACGUGCACGUGCUACAAGUGCUAAGGGAAGUAAACAGACAGACCCGUGGCAAAAUGAAAUCUGGAUACAAGUGCAGGACAAGUUGGAAACAAGUUUGAUAAGGCUUUGUUCUAUCUAAUGUCAUACUUUAUUCUAAUUUUAAUUUGCAACGUGGCAUUUGGGCAAAUAAAGAUGUCUUGAAGCAAGA